GGUGUAGCUCAGUGGUAGAGUACUUGCCUAGCAAGCAUGAAGCCUUGAGUUCAAUCCCCAGUGUC
rnacentral:tRNA from 1 species